rnacentral:rRNA from 1 species
CGGGCUUCGGGAUUGCAAUGAGCCGAAUUUACACCCCUUAGCGAGGAUCAAUUGGAGGGCAAGUCUGGUGCCAGCAGCCGCGGUAAUUCCAGCUCCAAUAGCGUAUAUUAAAGUUGUUGCAGUUAAAAAGCUCGUAGUUGGAUUUCUGGGAGGGUGCCAAUGUCCGCCGACGUGCGUGCGCAGCGGCGCUCUCUCAUCCUUCUGUUAACGUCUCUCGGCAUUCACUUGCCGGUGGCGGGCUCAGAUAUUUUACCUUGAGAAAAUUAGAGUGUUUCAGGCAGGCUAGGCCGGAAUACAUUAGCAUGGAAUAAUAGAAUAGGACUAUGGUCUCUUUGUUGGUUUGAGGGACUAUGGUAAUGAUUAAUAGGGAUAGUUGGGGGCAUUAGUAUUUAAUUGUCAGAGGUGAAAUUCUUGGAUUUAUGAAAGACUAACUACUGCGAAAGCAUUUGCCAAGGAUGUUUUCAUUAAUCAAGAACGAAAGUUAGGGGAUCGAAGACGAUCAGAUACCGUCGUAGUCUUAACCAUAAACUAUGCCGACUCGGGAUCGGUG